rnacentral:rRNA from 1 species
GCCUUAGUAACGGCGAGUGAAGCGGCAAUAGCUCAAAUUUGAAAGCUGGCCCCUUCGGGGUCCGCGUUGUAAUUUGUAGAGGAUGAUUCGGCGAGGGCUCCCGUCUAAGUCCCCUGGAACGGGGCGUCAUAGAGGGUGAGAAUCCCGUAUGUGAUGGGUUGCCUUAGCCAUGUGAAUCUCCUUCGACGAGUCGAGUUGUUUGGGAAUGCAGCUCUAAAUGGGAGGUAAAUUUCUUCUAAAGCUAAAUACCGGCCAGAGACCGAUAGCGCACAAGUAGAGUGAUCGAAAGAUGAAAAGCACUUUGGAAAGAGAGUUAAAAAGUACGUGAAAUUGUUGAAAGGGAAGCGCUUGCAGCCAGACUUGUCCGCAGUUGCUCAGCCGGUCUCCUGACCGGCGUACUCUUCUGCGGCCAGGCCAGCAUCAGUUCGGGCGGUCGGAUAAAGGCCCCAGGAAUGUAGCUCCUCUCGGGGAGUGUUAUAGCCUGGGGUGGAAUGCGGCCAGCCUGGACUGAGGAUCUCGCUUCGGCUAGGAUGCUGGCGUAAUGGCUGUAAGCGGCCCGUCUUGAAACACGGACC